CUUUUUUCUAUAUAAUGGCAUAUUCUUUAGUGAUCUUUUCUAAAUAGUUAAAAUUUUAUGAAGAAUAUAGACAAAAUUUGAGUAUCGUUCGAUAGCGAAUUUUCAUGGUUAUUUCAAUUAUAAAUUGAAAAAAAGUGAUAUUUCUAAGCCGAUUUUCGAACAUCUGACCAUUCCAAACGAAAGACCAUACUUUUUUCUAUAUAAUAGCAUAUUCU